GAUGAAGAACGCAGCGAAAUGCGACAAGUAAUGUGAAUUGCAGAAUUCCGUGAAUCAUCGAAUCUUUGAACGCACAUUGCGCCCUCUGGUAUUCUGGAGGGCAUGCCUGUCCGAGCGUCAUUGCUAUACCUCAAGCCCGGCUUGUGUGAUGGGCCUCCGUCCUCCUCCCGGGGGACGGGCCCGAAAGGCAGCGGCGGCACCGCGUCCGGUCCUCGAGCGUAUGGGGCUUCGUCACCCGCUCUUGUAGGCCCGGCCGGCGCUUGCCGACACAUCAAUCUUUUUUCCAGGUUGACCUCGGAUCAGGUAGGGAUACCCGCUGAACUUAAGCAUAUCAAUAAGCGGAGGA
rnacentral:misc_RNA from 1 species